ACCCUGAGGCGUGAUGACGAGUCACUACGGUGAUGAAGUAGUUGAUGCCAAGCUUCCAGGAAAAGCCUCUAAGCUCUAGGUAACAUUGAAUCGUACCCCAAACCGACACAGGUGGUCAGGUAGAGAAUACCAAGGCGCUUGAGAGAACUCGGGUGAAGGAACUAGGCAAAAUGGUGCCGUAACUUCGGGAGAAGGCACGCUGGCGCGUAGGUGAAGUCCCUUGCGGAUGGAGCUGAAGCCAGUCGAAGAUACCAGCUGGCUGCAACUGUUUAAUAAAAACACAGCACUGUGCAAACACGAAAGUGGACGUAUACGGUGUGACGCCUGCCCGGUGCUGGAAGGUUAAUUGAUGGGGUCAGCCGCAAGGCGAAGCUCUUGAUCGAAGCCCCAGUAAACGGCGGCCGUAACUAUAACGGUCCUAAGGUAGCGAAAUUCCUUGUCGGGUAAGUUCCGACCUGCACGAAUGGCGUAAUGAUGGCCAGGCUGUCUCCACCCGAGACUCAGUGAAAUUGAACUCGCUGUGAAGAUGCAGUGUACCCGCGGCAAGACGGAAAGACCCCGUGAACCUUUACUAUAGCUUGACACUGAACAUUGAGCCUUGAUGUGUAGGAUAGGUGGGAGGCUUUGAAGCGUGGACGCCAGUCUGCGUGGAGCCAACCUUGAAAUACCACCCUUUAAUGUUUGAUGUUCUAACUCCGGUCCCUAAUCGGGAUUGAGGACAGUGUCUGGUGGGUAGUUUGACUGGGGCGGUCUCCUCCUAAAGAGUAACGGAGGAGCACGAAGGUUAGCUAAUCACGGUCGGACAUCGUGAGGUUAGUGCAAUGGCAUAAGCUAGCUUGACUGCGAGAGUGACGGCUCGAGCAGGUACGAAAGUAGGUCAUAGUGAUCCGGUGGUUCUGAAUGGAAGGGCCAUCGCUCAACGGAUAAAAGGUACUCCGGGGAUAACAGGCUGAUACCGCCCAAGAGUUCAUAUCGACGGCGGUGUUUGGCACCUCGAUGUCGGCUCAUCACAUCCUGGGGCUGAAGUAGGUCCCAAGGGUAUGGCUGUUCGCCAUUUAAAGUGGUACGCGAGCUGGGUUUAGAACGUCGUGAGACAGUUCGGUCCCUAUCUGCCGUGGGCGUUGGAAGAUUGAGAGGGGCUGCUCCUAGUACGAGAGGACCGGAGUGGACGCAUCACUGGUGUUCGGGUUGUCAUGCCAAUGGCAUUGCCCGGUAGCUAAAUGCGGAAAAGAUAAGCGCUGAAAGCAUCUAAGCGCGAAACUUGCCUCGAGAUGAGUCUUCCCUGAGACCUUGAGUCUCCUAAAGGAACGUUUAAGACUAAGACGUUGAUAGGCUGGGUGUGUAAGCGUAGCGAUACGUUGAGCUAACCAGUACUAAUGAUCCGUGAGGCUUAACCUUACAACACCGAAGGUGUUU
rnacentral:rRNA from 1 species